rnacentral:lncRNA from 1 species
UGUUGUUCCCGUUUGUUCUUGCGAGAGUUCUGCCGCAGGGAAUCCCCGUUACGUCAUGGGAUCGGAUGAUUUACACUUCCGAUAAAAGAAGAGGGUUUACCGGCGUUCUGACGCAAUUCUCUGACUGCUCACUGUGAAAAUUUUCGUACUUUGUGAUCGAGUUCAAGCCAGACAGUGACAACAGUGCCUAGGGUCAAAGAAUACGAUGGUCACAGAAUUUGGUGUAACACCGGCGUUCUGGAGCAACUCUUUGACUGCUCACUGUGAAACAUUGCGAUCGAUCGCUCAGUUCAUCUUAUUGUUGUCUUAGUCUGUGACUGUUACGUCUCUUGUUGUGGAAAUAUCACACUUGUGGAAUAUAGAGACUCGUUGGAUUAUUUCUCCUUGGGGAUUCCGUCACAGGACAGCUGUCCCUCGUCGAGCUCCUGGACUUUAAAACACUUCACCGCAUCGGCAGAAGCCACCACAACAGGUGUGGCUAAAAUCACUUUUCCAGCUUUCCCCCUCAAGCGACAGCCUUGUAAAUUGUCAUUUGCAAGUUAUUGGUGUUAAUGUUGUUUUUCACAUGCGUGCUUUUUGUGCUAGUGACGUUUAAUUCGCAAAUAUAUCUGAUACUUUAGUUUUAACACAUUUUUAAUAAACAAAUGGUUCACUUCCAUUCUUUUGGUCCUGACUGCCAAUGAACCAGUUGAGAGAAUGAUUCAG